rnacentral:tRNA from 1 species
UUCUGAUUUGCUAAAUGGUUAAAGCGACAGACAGAAAAUCUGUAAUUGUAGGUUCGAAUCCUGCAUCAGAGA